rnacentral:rRNA from 1 species
AUUGAACGCUGGCUGCAGUCCUAACACCUUCAAGUCGAGCGAGCGGCGGACGGGUGAGUAAUGUCUGGGAAACUGCCUGCUGGAUGUGGAUAACUCCUGGAAACGGUAGCUACUACCGCAUACCAUCAGAUGUGCCCAGAUGGGAUUCGCUAGUAGGUGGUUUAAUGGCUCACCUAUGCGACGGUCCCUAGCUGGUCUUCGAGGAUGACCAGCCAAAAUGGAACUGAUACACGGUCCAGACGCCUACGGGAGGCAGCAGUGGGGAAUAUUGCACAAUGGGCGCAAGCAUGAUGCAGCCAUGCCGCGUGUAUGAAGAAGGCCUUCGGGUUGUAAAGUACUUUCAGCGAGGAGGCGUUACCCGCAGAAGAAGCACCGGCUAAAUCCGUGCCAGCAGCCGCGGGAAUUC